CUGACGGUUAAAUUCCUGCUGGUCAUGAAAGGUCAAACUCAAAUAUAGAACAAAUGGUGUGCAGCUCCUGAGAGCAGGGUCUGCAGGUGUCAGUGUUAACUGAUUGUAACUCCUACACCAGGCAGGUGAAUGCUUCAUCCACAGACCACACCAAGGCAUGGGGACAGGUGAGCACCCAACCCCAUGAUCUGUGGAGGGGCAACUGUGGUUGGCAGCAUCAGCAGAUGGCCUGAGUGCCCAGAGUGCUCACCAGGAUCCUCGGUCAAAGGAGGUGCGCUCUCAGGAGGGGACUUUAAACCACAAAGGUUAGACAAAUAAUCAGAGGGUGUGGCUGGAAGCCAUUCUGGGUGGCCCUUGUGGGUGAGAGUGUCUCACUUGCCCUGACUUCCCAGCAACCCUAGGGGAGAGUUCCAGUCUCCAUUCCAUGGAAAGGCUUCUUGUCACAUCAUUGUCCCAGGAAAACUGCCCAUGACAUCAUUCUCUGAGCUCUACCCCAGGCACCUCAUAGAAGAUUCACGUCAAUGAUCUCCAGUGAGGUGCAAUUCGCUUGAGCUAAAGUGCCCUGUACAAUCUAGGGUGAUCUGCAGAAGCCAGGGUACCCUGUAGGAGCUGGGGUACCCUGUAUGAACUGCUGGGUAUCCUGCAUGCACCUGGUACCCUGUAUGAGCUGGGAUAUCCUUUAUGAGCUGAGGUAUCCUGUAUGAGCUGGGUAUCCUGUAUGAACUGGGUAUCCUGUAUGAGCUGGGUGUCCUUUAUGAACUGGGGUAUCCUGUAAGAGCUGGGUAUCCUUUAUGAACUGGAGUAUCCUGUAAGAGCUGGGUAUCCUUUAUGAACUGGGGUAUCCUGUAUGAGCUUGCUAUCCUUUAUGAACUGGGGUAUCCUGUAUGAGCUGGGUAUUCUGUAUGAGCUGGGAUAUCCUUUAUGAGCUGGGGUAUCCUGUAUGAGCUGGGUAUCCUUUAUGAGCUGAGCUAUCCUGUAUGAACUGGGGUAUCCUGUAUGAGCUGGGUAUUCUGUAUGAGCUGGGAUAUCCUUUAUGAGCUGGGGUAUCCUGUAUGAGCUGACAAGCGUCAAUGUAGGAGAGUCUUGAAACCCAGCACCAGAUAGUGGUUGCUAAUCCCAGUCUUCCAUACAAGGAUCCCGGGUUCUGUGAAGAAAUGCUUAAUUCUGGGACUGGGAGGGGAGUAAACAAGAUGAGCCUGGAGCAGAAAGCAAGGAAGUGUCCAAACCAAGCCAAACCAAAACACCCAGGAUGCCGCCAUAAUGGGGACAUUUUAAAGGGACAUAGGAGGCAAUGGAAAGAACCCCCAGUGGCUAAAGCUAGAGCAAUUUGAGCAACAAAGUAAGAUAGCAUUGGAAAAUAACUCAAAGUAUAGAGCCAGCCUAUUCUGAUAGAAAUGACUGAGGAAAUAAAUAAUUGGAGGGAGAGUGACAAGUUUUCUGUGCAGACUUCCAAAUAACUUAUGUAGAUCCCCUGCCCUUGAAGAGGGGAAGCACAGCUCCCCACUUUGGCCACGUGGGCUGCUCAUAAUGACUUCUUCCAAAAGGUAUGGAAAGGGGUAAGGCAGUUUUACAGUGGAGAAACCUGGCAGACACUGCUUCAGCCAGGUCAUCACGUUUAACCAUGCUCGGUUACGUUGACCCGAUGCACCCUUGAUGGGAUGGGAUGAAAGCGCUCGACCUCCAUCACAGGUGCAGUCUCCACUCAACCCACUAUGAGAAAAACAUCAAACUCCAAUUCUUCAGUGUUCCUGCCGGUCCUCCUCAGAACAGCCAAGGUCAAGGUCAUUCAACACAGGAAAGUCUGAGAAUCCAUCACCACCAAGAGGAGUCUAAGGAGAACUGAGGAUUGAGGGCCAUGGGGUGUCCCGGCUGGGGUCCGGGGUAGAGACGGAUUUUAGGUAAAGACUAGAGAACCCCGAAUAAAGCGUGGGCUUCAGUGAAGCACUCCUGUGAGUCAGUACUGCUCUGUGAACUGGGGCGGAUGCACAGAGGAACACGAUCUAAUAAUGGGAAAAGAGGAGAUGGGGUGUGGGCUAUGUAGGAACUCUGUGCUAUCUUUACAAUUUUUCUACAAGUUCAUUAUUUUAAAAUUAAAAAUUUAGGAAGAAAAACAACAACAAAAACAUUCCCAGGGGAUUCCAUUGUCCAGUGGGCAUUAGAAUGUUGUUGUUGUUGUAAUUUGUUUAUUGUCACGUUAGCCAUUAUUUAUUAUUAUGUCACAUAUGUGAGACCACAAGGGCUGCUCCCCGCAUACCGGUGGCCCCCCCAGUUAGCUGCCUUGGGGAGGGGAGGAAGACCACCAGAGCCCAGGGUGGGGGCGAGGCGGCUCCCGGAGGCUCCCCUGCCCCUCCCAGUCCUCACCUCCUCCUCCCUGAGUGGCCUGGUGGGAUGGAAGGUGUCUGUGGCCGGCUGCCCAGAACACCAAGAAGGGCCCUCUUCCUCCUUGAACUUGAGCCAGCCCCUGGCGUCUUUCUCGGGGCCAGAGCUUUGCCUCUAAAUGGUCUUUGUUUGCAGACGAUCUGCUGUGCAGAUCAUGAACCGUCGCCGCAGUGCCAGACAGACUCUUCAUCCGGACCGGCCGUCCCACUGGGUCCCCUCAGGAAAGCGCAGAAGCCGGGGACCCCAAACCGCGUCCAGCUCCUCCCACCCGCCCUUCUCGGAGCCGCGCACUUGGUAACUUGCGUGUGAAGAACUCACGGCCGUGUUGCCAGGAAACUGCGGGGAGCAGCCUUUGUGGUCUCACAUAUGCGUAACAUAAUAAUAAAUAACGG
rnacentral:lncRNA from 1 species